rnacentral:rRNA from 1 species
GAUGAACGCUAGCUACAGGCUUAACACAUGCAAGUCGAGGGGCAGCAUGGUCUUAGCUUGCUAAAGGCCGAUGGCGACCGGCGCACGGGUGAGUAACACGUAUCCAACCUGCCGUCUACUCUUGGACAGCCUUCUGAAAGGAAGAUUAAUACAAGAUGGCAUCAUGAGUCCGCAUGUUCACAUGGAUUAAAGGUAUUCCGGUAGACGAUGGGGAUGCGUUCCAUUAGAUAGUAGGCGGGUAACGGCCCACCUAGUCUUCGAUGGAUAGGGGUUCUGAGAGGAAGGUCCCCCUACAUUGGAACUGAGACAC